GGAUUGCUGCUUGUCCUCAUGUUACUCUCCGUCUCUCGAUUUGACUAGAAGAAGCUUCAGGAGGAAGCAGAACCACAAAAGAGCCUUUCUGGGCUUAGGCAUCCUGAUAUCCAUCAUCCUGUCACUCUACCAAUGUAUUGUCGGUGGGAGGAAUGAUACACUUAGACUCCCAGGCUUCUGAGAUUUAACGGAUCAGCCUUUAAGGCUCCCAGGAUUUAAGCAGGAUCUCAAAGGUAGGUGGCCUUCACACUUUCAUUGCCCUGGUAACAAUCCUUAUGUCCCUUAUAGGAGCAGAGUUUGAUUACUGGGCCAAGCUUAUUAACUGACUCUCCCUUUGGGAGGUAUUUUUUUUUUUCCAGUUUCUUUAGGAUAUUUUUAUUUCCAAGUGCAAUGUCAAUCUCUGAGACCUAUUGAAGUUGGAAUCUUCUUUGACAUUAUACUCAUUAAACUAAAGAUGGAUAUUUGUUCUAA
rnacentral:lncRNA from 1 species